rnacentral:misc_RNA from 1 species
UUCCGUAGGUGACCUGCGGAAGGAUCAUUGUCGAAGUCUGCUUAACAACACGACCCGUGAACUUGUAGUUAUCAUAUGGGGGAUGCACGGUGAAAGCUUUACAUCCUGCCCCUUCUGGGUGACACUCGUUAAGUUGAUCAUCAACUUGCCCCGUGCAUGGUUUAUGACUUGCUUGAUGUUGUGGUGCUCAGAUGAAUAACCAACCCCGGCGCAACCAGCGUCAAGGAACCAAAAUGAAUGAUUGUGUGCCCUAUGUGACUACCUCAAUUUAUUGGGAGAGUAACGUGGUUUCACACAUUUAAUAAUAUCUAUAAGACUCUCGGCAACGGAUAUCUUGGCUCUUGCAUCGAUGAAGAACGUAGCGAAAUGCGAUACUUGGUGUGAAUUGCAGAAUCCCGUGAACCAUUGAGUCUUUGAACGCAAGUUGCGCCCUAGGCCCUACGGUCGAGGGCACGCCUGCCUGGGCGUCACGCAUUGCGAUGCUCCCCCCAAAUUUCCCCAAGGGACAUAUGGUAAAUGAGCAGAUAUUGGCUUCCCAUGCACUUGUGGUGUGGUUGGCCUAAAUUAUUGCCUUUGGUAGCGAGCCUCACAGCGUGUGGUGGUUUUUAAUAACUAACCCCUUCUCCAUUGUUGGACACUGUGCCAUCGUUUGCCCAAGGACAUCGAAUACCCUAUUAGAGUACCUUGUUAAGGUGUUCUCAUGCGACCCCA